UACAGAGGGUGCGAGCGUUGUUCGGAAUUACUGGGCGUAAAGCGCACGUAGGCGGCUUUCUAAGUCGGGGGUGAAAUCCUGGAGCUCAACUCCAGAACUGCCUUUGAUACUGCAUCGCUUGAAUCCAGGAGAGGUGAGUGGAAUUCCGAGUGUAGAGGUGAAAUUCGUAGAUAUUCGGAAGAACACCAGUGGCGAAGGCGGCUCACUGGACUGGUAUUGACGCUGAGGUGCGAAAGCGUGGGGAGCAAACAGG
rnacentral:rRNA from 1 species